rnacentral:rRNA from 1 species
UACAGAGGUCUCAAGCGUUGUUCGGAUUCAUUGGGCGUAAAGGGUGCGUAGGCGGCGCGGUAAGUCGGGUGUGAAAUCUCGGGGCUUAACUCCGAAACUGCAUUCGAUACUGCCGUGCUUGAGGACUGGAGAGGAGACUGGAAUUUACGGUGUAGCGGUGAAAUGCGUAGAUAUCGUAAGGAAGACCAGUGGCGAAGGCGGGUCUCCGGACAGUUCCUGACGCUGAGGCACGAAGGUCAGGGGAGCAAACGGG